rnacentral:rRNA from 1 species
GACGAACGCUGGCGGCGUGCCUAAUACAUGCAAGUCGAGCGGAUCUUCAUUAGCUUGCUUUUGAAGAUCAGCGGCGGACGGGUGAGUAACACGUGGGCAACCUGCCUGUAAGACUGGGAUAACUUCGGGAAACCGGAGCUAAUACCGGAUAAUCCCUUUCCUCUCAUGAGGAAAAGCUGAAAGACGGUUUCGGCUGUCACUUACAGAUGGGCCCGCGGCGCAUUAGCUAGUUGGUGAGGUAACGGCUCACCAAGGCGACGAUGCGUAGCCGACCUGAGAGGGUGAUCGGCCACACUGGGACUGUGACACGGCCCAGACUCCUACGGGAGGCAGCAGUAGGGAAUCUUCCGCAAUGGACGAAAGUCUGACGGAGCAACGCCGCGUGAGCGAUGAAGGCCUUCGGGUCGUAAAGCUCUGUUGUCAGGGAAGAACAAGUACCGGAGUAACUGCCGGUACCUUGACGGUACCUGACCAGAAAGCCACGGCUAACUACGUGCCAGCAGCCGCGGUAAUAC